rnacentral:lncRNA from 1 species
GGUAGGCGGAGAGUGAGAGGGAGGUAAAGAGAGUUAGUGCUUAUAUUAAAACUAGUGAAGGACCCAUGCGUUGCGGCGGGACGAUUCUGUAAAAAUAAAUAAAUAAAUAAAUAAAAUAAAUAGAAAAAAAAAGAGUCAAUGAAUUAUAUAAAAAAAAACAACUAAAAAAUAAGCAACUGUUGCUGCAAUAAAAAUAUAAGAAUAAAUUAUAAAAAGGAUUAAAAAAAUAAGAGUAAAAACAAUAAGAAUAAUAAAUAAUAUUUAUAGUAGCAAUAAACAUUACGGACUAAAAUGAUAUAUCUCAUGUUGCAAGUCAGAAAUUGUAACUAAUUAAAGUUUGAGGAUGAAAGUGUCACAUGCCUUAUAAUUUAAAGACUAAAUUACAUAAAACUCCACUGUCAAAACCCGAUUUUUUACUUCCCCCCCUAUUAUUUAAAAAACCUACACUAUGCUCCCUUAUAAAAUAAAAAAUGUCACAGGAGUGUACGGUGUGAACUGGUGAUGACAAAAUAACCAUUUUGCCCCAUACCAUUUUUGCCUUCUCCUUUAUCUUGCUCAUCCGCCGCCUCGAUCGGCCGCGGUUCACGUCUCUAUCGGUAGCGGUUCCUCUCCAUUUCCUUUUCCACCUGCUCCCUUUCUCCUCCUGCACCCUCGUCGCCCCUCUAUUUCGGUGACAGUAGAAAGAAAAUCAAGGUGGGCGUGGAUGGAGAGGUGGGCAAGGGCAACGAGGGCGAAGGCGAGGCGGCGGAUGAGGGCGAGGGGGUGUUUGUGGGCCGGACAGAGAUGUGGGCAAGGGCGAGGCAGUGGAUGAUGGCCGAGGCGGCGAGGCGGAGGAGGGCGAAGCAACAAUAGAGAGGGCGAAGGGUAUAUUUGGCAUAAAAAAAAAUAUUUUAUAACGGAACCAUAACGAAUAACUAGCAACAGGGGGUGAAGUGAACAUUUUUCAUUUUAUAAGGGGCAAAGUGUAGGUUUUUAAAUGACGGGGGGAAAGUGAAAAAUUGGGUUUUGACAGAGGAAUUUUCUGUAAUUUAGCCUAAUUUAAAUUAUAACAUAUUAAAGUUCGAGAAUUAAAAUGUCACUCGUCUUAUAAUUUGGAGGACGAAAAUUGUGAAUCCAAUCUUUCAAAAUUUUAUUUUGAUUAUUUAAUUUUUUGAUAUAUUAGAUUUGAGUCAAUUAAUGAUACAUUGACUUUAAAAAUCUGAAUGUAUCGCUUAAUUCUACAUAUUUAGAUAGUAUAUUUUAUGCGAUUCUUGUAACUAAAUUUUGUAAAAUUUAAAAUUAACUUAAACGCCAUCAAUCUUUUUUUAUUUUUUAAUGUACAAUCUAUAUCUAAAUGCUCAAUAAUAUAACAUUUAAAUUUAUAUUUAAUACAAAUAGUCUAAACUAUUUAAAAAUUAUAUAUAUAUUUUAAAUUUUUAUAGUAAAAAAUAAAAAAUUGGAUUGGACUAAAAAAAAAUUUGAAGAAUGAGGGGAAAAAUAUGAAAGAUAUGGAUCCCGAGGAUCUAAAAGGUAAAUA